rnacentral:tRNA from 1 species
AAAAUCCGUCGACUUUUAAAAUAAAAUCGUGAGGGUUCAAGUCCCUCUAUCCCC